AUUUUUCCUUUUUUUGUAAUUUAGCAUACAUGUGCAACCUUUAUAUACCACGUAUACGACUUGUCUUGUUCGAAGAAAGGGUUUGACAAUUAUUAUACUGGUGUUUAAGAAGGUAUCAGCCAACGGUUUAUGGCAAUAGGAGCAAGGACGAUGAACCAAGAAGAAGAGAUAAGAAACAAGAAGCAGCAAGAAGACGAUGAUGACGAUCAUGAAAACGACAUGGUGAUGCCAGGGUUUCGGUUUCAUCCAACGGAGGAAGAGCUUGUUGAGUUCUACCUUCGCCGUAAGGUAGAGGGCAAGAGAUUCAAUGUCGAGCUCAUCACUUUUCUUGAUCUUUACCGAUAUGAUCCGUGGGAACUACCUGCUUUAGCAGCAAUCGGGGAGAAAGAAUGGUUUUUCUAUGUGCCAAGAGAUAAGAAGUAUCGUAAUGGGGAUCGACCUAACCGUGUGACCACUUCAGGCUACUGGAAAGCUACCGGAGCUGAUAGAAUGAUUAGAACCGAUAAUUCCAGAUCCAUCGGAUUAAAGAAAACCCUUGUUUUUUACUCAGGAAAAGCUCCAAAAGGCAUUCGAAGUAGUUGGAUCAUGAAUGAAUACCGAUUACCCCAUCAUGAAACAGAAAGAUUACAAAAGGCUGAGAUCUCGCUGUGUAGGGUUUACAAGCGAAGUGGAGUAGAAGACCAUCCAUCUCUCCCUCGUUCUCUUCAAACAAGGAGUACCUCAAGAACCUCAAAUUAUCAUAUCAAUCAGCAAUCCCAGAAUUCUCCGAGUUUCAAUUGUUUUGAAGGCCAAUCUUCUCACCAUACUGAUGAAAAACCCAGUGAUACAACCAGUUGCACCCCCACCGCCAUUGUUGGAACUUCUCUCGGCCUUUCAAACCCUCUCAACUCCUCAUACAACAAUGUCAUUGCCACCCCCUCUUCAACUAUCUUCCCUAACAGUGUUGAUGAUCUUCCUAGAAUUAUCAGUUCUCAACGAGUUCUUGACACUUGCCCACCCUCUCAACUUCUGAAUAUUCAUAACUAUCACCUCGGUGAUUCUUCAAACUAUUCUCCGCAUCUCUUUGAUAAUAUGCUUCCUCAACCACAACAACAACAACAACUGCAGCCACAGUUGAGCUCACAAGCGCUUCUUGCACUUAAUAAUAACUUGGCAGGAGCUGGAGCUGGAGCUGUUCAUGUGACAUUUCCUGAAAGAAUUUGGGAGUGGAAUUCGAUGUUGAGUGAAGGAAGCAAAGAUUUGACGGCGCCUUUCAAGUAAUAUUGCUCCUAUAUAUGCAUAUAAUUACGGAAGUUGCGUAAUAUGAACUUCAAAAAGACUUAUUUUGUCAACUACUUUGCCUGCAGGUUUACCGCAUAGUCUACAGACAUGUUAAAUCAGGUUCUAUGGACUUGGAUCGUAUAAAGUAUAAACUGCAUUGAUCUCGUAUAUAUGAGCUUUUGCAAAAGUAUAUGAGACCGAUAUUGUUUCUCAAUCGAGUUAUGAGAAUGAUGUCAAAAUUGGGGAUUGUUUUAACUUUUUCUAUCAAAAAGAGAAAAAAAAAGUUUAAUGA